AUUGUCACAGACAGCCACUGCUGUAUGGAGUUACCAUCUCCAAUGAAGGAAAGAGGAAAGGGAGGUGUGAGAAGCACUGCAGCCACGCCAGUUUCUUUAACAGGAAAGCAAAGGUUUCCAGGGUGGCUCAGAGGCAGGGGCUUGAAGGCUUGCUUAAAUGUCUGGCGCCUGGACUGGGAAGACUCGAACGGCUGAAGACCAGAACAGAGACCACUCUUUUCAGUGACAGACAUCUCCAUGAGCUGUUCUUUGUGACCACCAGCUGUGUUGUGAGAACUGUUUUGGUCUUGCUUUUCUUCAUGCCUGUCAAAGGCCACAGAGUGUUGAAGCCUGCAAACGCAGCCUGAAUCAGCACGGACCCCAGAGACUUUCAACAGCAUCUCAAUAAAACUUUCAAUUAUCUCCAUUUUAUACACAGUAUUUCAGUUGUGGGUGACACACUUCGUCUGAACAAAAUUAUAUUAAAUAACACCUUGAAUGAAAAGGUCCAUUCAAACAGAGAAAUAAUACAGAGAAUUAUACCCAAUAUCUUGUUUUUUAUUAUACAUUAUGAAUAAAAUCACUACUAAAAGCCAAGAAAAAUCAUCAAUGUUCUUUUUAGAAUCACAAAUGUCCCAACAACCUUUGAUUUGAAAACCCCUUGUGGCCUAAGCACCUUAAGCUAUCUUGCAGAAAAUUCUAUGUGUGUUAAAACACUUGCAGGGACUACUUUUCCAAAGAAAUGAUUAUUAAAGGACAUUAGUGAAACAUCUUUAUAUUGACUAAUUUUAGAGCUAUCCGUUCACUCUUUAUUCUUUGCAUGUGUUUAUCUUGUUUUAUUAGCAACUUGUUGCUAGAUUCUGAUGUGUUAAUUCUUAGCUACAGUAAGGUUGUUUUAAAUGUUAUGUUUACUAUGAUAUUACUUAAAAAAAAGUUACAUUUUCGCCUCUGUGUAAGCACAGAGCUGGUGAACUAAACAACAUACAUAACUCUCAAUCUAUCAUCUGCAUUCCCUUUGCAUUAGGUGUAACACUGGCACAAAAAUCAGAGCCCCAGCUCCAAUUUUUCCAGCUGUCUCUGUUGCCCUGUGAUCUUUUGGUACAAAUUUUCUAGCCUGUUUGAAAAGGCAGGCUUCUACCCCCUUCUUUGAUUGUACUUAGGCAUUUUGCCAGCCUGCGACAUGGAUUAAUAUGAACAGAAUCACAGACUUUUCUGAACACUAGUCAUUUACGUGUGUUUAGUAGCAUAUACCCAGCAAGAGAAAGGCAGGCUGCCGUUGCCUUUGUAUAGAGUCUGGGUAGGUUUUGAUUUCACUCAGAGUCAAGAACAAAGCAACCUCUGACUUUUCCUCAAACUCAGCCCGUAUGGAAUGACUUUUAAUGACUUCACGAACUGCUAGCCUUCAGAUGACUGGAGUGUUUUUUGCUUCUUAAGUUUUUCCUUCUAUGACGUUUUAUGAUUAUACCUUAUGGUGCAGUUCUAUUUUUGUUCUCAUGUGUUUCUGAGUGCUUAAAGUCUAGAGGAAAAAUUUUUUAACUCAUUUGGCUCCCAUGAAAUGUGCUUUUCAGUUUGGGGAUAACGUGGAGAGAAGCUUUAAGUACUGUGCCAAUACCAAACAUGGCAUUCCCUAUUAAUGAGCCAAUUCCAUCCCCUGAGUCUGAAUAAUUUAGAGAAGACGUGAUGUCAUUGUCUCCUUAGAGAUAAAUGGAAAGGAGUCUGGGUGUAGAAUUUUUGAGUGGUCUUUAUAAUAAUAGUAAUUAAAAAACAUUACCUCAUAUAUUUAAACUUUGUGUGCACACCAUGUGCUUUUCUCAUUUUUUACCCAAUAUUACUCGUAAAGGACUAGUAUUCCUGUUUCAUUAUUUUUGAAGCACUGUUUGAUGACACUGGUUUAACAGUUUCUCACAGUUCACUGCUUCAGUUUUCAUCAAAUCAUAUUUCUAGUUACACUAGACACUUUCAUCAUCAAUUUCCAUAUGCCUCAAAGACAUGCAAGGACCAAUUUGCCAACAAGUGAAUUCAGAUACCAGAUAAUAGCUGCUGUAGAUUACAUUUUUCUCUUACUAUAGCCUUUUCUAAAAUGAAAAGUUUAUAACCCACCAGGCCAACCCCCUAACAACCAAACACACCAUAUUUGUUUAACUGGAUUAGCCUGGGUCUAUGGUGAAGUUUCAGGAUUAUGGCAAACUAUUUAGUUUCGAUGUGCAAAUGUUAUGAUAAGAUGAACAAUGGCUGUAUAUACUUCCAUACAGUUCAUAUCCCAGUUAAUGGAAAAGCAGCAGCCAUACAAUUUGCCAAAGAACUGCCAAGUUCAAAAGAAUUCUAAAAUCCCUUCUCUCUUAAAUUCUACAACUUUUCUGUGUUCUGUCUGUCACGUCUUGAAGCUCCCAUUGUCAAAUGCCACAGAUUAGGGCCCAUAGUAAACUCCAGAUAAUUCUGAAGCAUGCAAAUAAGUUUUAUAUCAAUAAUUGUUGAUAAAGUUUAAAUAUCAGUCACCAUUUUUCAACAAACUUUCAACUUGUUUUGCUUAUGACUUUAAACAGCGUAAAUAAAAACUGUCUAUAGCUGGCAAAACAUAUUAUCUUCAAUUUGUUUUUUAGAACACUGUUUAUGCCUUAAAGGAAAAGAACUAAUAUAAUCAGUGCUAAACUCAUGGGAAACUAAAUGAAAAGCUUUUCCUCUUUCAAACAUCAACUCAAUCAAACUCCAAAAUAUGAAUAUCAGAAGAGUUUUCUUAAUAUGCUUUAGAAUUACUGAAUCUUUUAAAGUAAUCUCUAUGAUUAUAGCAUGUGUGCAAUAUCCUGAAAUGCAAUAUAGACUGUUGGGUUAUUCUGAACUCAUGACAUUCAUAGCACUUUUUAAAUGAAAGUUAGAUUCAUAAAAAGAUGGAAUCAUAAGAAAUCAUAAAAAGAUGUGUAACAACGUGGGAAGAUGUUCAGUGUUUUAUUCGGUUGAAAAUACAGGCUACCUAGGGGAUGGGAUAUGACGAAGAAAGAGGGGUAACUUUUACUUCUUAAUUACUUCUGUAUUUAAUUUAUUUACAAUGACUGUGUAUUAAAAUUUUUAAGUGGAUUAUAACACUGUAUAAUAAUUGAUAUGUAUCAGACAUUAUUCUAAGUACUUUAAAAAUAUCAACUUAAUUUUUGUAACAACUCCAUGAAGUAGAUAACUUUAAUAUUUCUCUUUUACAAAUGAGGAAACCAAGACAUAGAGGGCUUAAGUAACUUAUCCGAGGUCACGCAGGUACUACGAGGCAGAGAUGGGAUUCAAACCUUUCUCUGCUUUUGAUAUUCCACUAUUGUUCCAUUUCUGUGAAAUACAUUUGACUGAAAAACUACAUUACAAAAUGUUAACAGUGGAUAUUUCUGAGUGACAUAAUUAUGGUUAAUUUCUAUUUUUUUAUAUUUUGCUUGUCUGUAUUUUCCAGUUUUUCACAAAACAAUCAAUAGAGUGCUUUUGAAAAGAAAAAAAAUCUUUUUAAAGUUCCCUUUGUACUAAAGCAUGAAAUAGGGAUUUGGAUGUAGCACUGUGAUUUUUUUUUUCAACUGCUCUCCAGUAAACCUUCCUUUUAUUUUAUGCAUCUAGUAGAACGUGUGCCCUAGAUCUUGGCUAUUGAACUGUUCUCUUGUGUGUAGAUUUUACUUUGUUUACAGUUGGUCACUAUGGGGAGUAAUGAGAACAGAAGAAGAAAUUGAUAGAACUUUCAAAAUGCAGAAAUAUCAAGAAAGGAAUAAAGUCAGAAAAUAUAGUUGUCAUAUAUUAGUCUUAAAAUUUCUGAACAUAUUUCUAUCACAUCUUUCCUUAGCAGUCUGAGUUGCUGAGCAGGGCCAUAGUAACUUAGCUUGUAUCCAUAAGGAAACAGCCACU
rnacentral:lncRNA from 1 species